AACAUUACGUGGGCAGAUCCAGUUACUUUGAUGAAGUAAAGCGUGAAGAUUAGGCAUUUUCUAGUGUUU
rnacentral:tRNA from 1 species